UACAGAGGUCCCAAGCGUUGUUCGGAUUUACUGGGCGUAAAGGGUGCGUAGGCGGUUGUUUAAGUCUGACGUGAAAUCUCCGGGCCUAACCCGGAACUGCGUUGGAUACUAUUCAACUAGAGGAAUGGAGGGGAGACUGGAAUACUUGGUGUAGCGGUGGAAUGCGCAGAUAUCAGGAGGAACACCGGUGGCGAAGGCGGGUCUCGUGGGGUGAGGCUGACGCUGGAUGCGCGACAGCGUGGGGAGCAACGAGG
rnacentral:rRNA from 1 species